UUUUUUACUUAUAAUUUGCGACAAAGAAAAUGAAUUUAAUUCCUUAUAAUUUGAGACGGAGGAGUAUUAUUAAUCUUCAAAUCUUAUACCAGACUAACAGUGUUGCUAGGUAGCAUAUGGCUCUAUGAUUAUAUUUUGUAUUGGUUUUGAUUAGGUAAUAAUUGUCUUCCUAAACAUUUAUAUUGUUAUCAUUCACUACUCUCGAUAAACAACCUUUCUUGAAAAUCCAGAUAGCAUGGUACGUACAUACUCCACCGGGUGUAGCCAAGACUGUUGUCUAUUUGGCUUCACAAAAAUGGGUAAGGGUUUGAUACAAGCCUACAUCAAUGCUUGCUUGCUAAAAAGAGCUUCAAUGAAGAGAGACUCCCAAUUAUACAAGUGUAUUCUCCUUUUCCAGCUACUGCACCAAAAUUUACAUAUUAACUUUUCAAGCUGCUCUCCAAAAAAAAAA
rnacentral:lncRNA from 1 species